CCUCGCAUCAUCAGACUGUCCAACUGGGUUCCGCUGAUCUUGAGCAAUAGGCGGAGUGUCCGUCGCGAGUGUUCGGAAUCAAUCGCCAUUCGAUGUUUUUUGCCUUUCCAGUCGUGGGUCACGAGCAAUUCAAUUGGGUUUGUUCUCACCCUACAGGUGCCGAGUUCUUCUACGCCUCACUGUCAGCACACGUAAGUGCGAAGAAAUGGUGUGAACCUAUCACCAGAUAGAGCUCGGCGAUGGAACAAGAGCAAGCACAAUUUUUGUAGUCAUUUUGGUUACCAAGUGAAGAAGGAGCAAGGAUUGCGACAUGCGCCUCGGUCUUGAUCAUUUUCUUCUGUUAGGUCUGCGCCCCUUCGUUUGACAGUUUUUUUCUGGGUUUGUAUCGUGAGAGGCUGCUGUUGUGUGGGUCGGAGUUCAGCUUUGUGCCGUGAAGGGUUGGAGGAGCUCUUUGUGUCUUGAGUUCCUCGUUUCGGAGGAGGAGGACGGUGGGGUGAGAAGGUGUGUGGGUUUUGGAUGCGUGUGAACGCUGGUUCGCGACGAGACUGUCCAGUUUAGUUCUGCUCGUUUUGGCUGAUGUGCUCAAUACCUUCCGUGUUCUUUUAUCAAUGUUGAUCGAUUUUGAGCCCAAUGAGGUUUAAAGCAAGGCCUGAAGGCUGUGGGAGUCCUUGGUUCUUCUAGAUGGGUUAGUCAAUUUUCUCGAAAUUAGAGGUUAUUCCAGCUUAAGUGAUACUUGAAUCGAGAGGAACAUGUGAAAGACACGGUGGAGUCAGAUCAUAAUUCGGAAGUUAGUCUAGUUUUGAAUCAAAUCCGAGUCACAAUUUCUAGUUCCAGUUCAUUAUAUUGAAGUGAGUUAUUUAGUUCUCAUUUCGUCUCAAGGUGUUCCAAGGAUUGUUGCAGAACGUGGUGAGAUGUUCUCGCUGGUGUCAUGAAUCUGGAAUCAACCGACGAAAUGCGUAGAUUAGGACUAAAACCCGCCUACAUCUCUCAGCGAUUGAGAAGUUUUUGAGUGGUGGCGUCUGCACUCAGAGCAGGUGUUCAAAGAAAGUUAAGUGCCGUCUUCUGAAUGAAAUGGAGAGACAGGUCUGGUGUCCCAAGGUGACCACCAAGUUGACAAGAGGAUGUUUACAGUAAGCGGCCUCAAGGAACACUCGAGCUCCUGUCAGGCUUGUAAUUCCACUUACAGUGAUUAUCAUCACAUAGACAUUGACCACCAAUAGGUCACGUUGCAUUUACAAACCAGGGAAUUGUCAUAGAAUGCAGUUUUUACAGCUUUUCAAGGUUCGCAUCAUCAGUAAUUACGGGAACAUAGGUUCUUGAUUUUUACCUUUGAAGAAAGUCUACUUGAAGUUGUUGAGGUAGUUUCUAUCUUACUUCCAUUCAACAUGGCUAGGCCGGAUUGCAUCCCGUGGGGACAGGUUGUAUUUCAUGGCUUGAUCUGGACAUCUGCUUAUCUGCUGGUGGGGAUUAUGAUGGCCUUUCCACUUAUUCACCGAGCCAUGGGAUUAUUCCAAAACUGAGGAUUUUUGAUUGGCUUGGGUUGCAGCAGUGAUUUUAAUUUUCACCUGAAAAAUGGUCAAAGCAAACCAGAGCUCCUUUCCUUUGAGGUCUAGUUGUGCUUCGGAAUACCAUGUGCCAGUUUCAUGAGGAGAUGGUUUUACGCUUGCUAUGAGGAACCAGCUGGAACAAGGGAUUAAUUUUCAGAGGGAGCUUAGUUUAGAAGUUGGAUAUCUCGAGUGGUCUUGAACCAGGUGGGGUCGUUUGUGUCCAGUCUCUUCUCAGACUAUCAUCAAAUGCAAACAACCUUGACUUGGUGAUGUGAGAAACACGAGUCAACCUUUCAUGGAGAUGAGCCUAGUUUUGAGAGGCACUUACGACUGAGCUGCACCUUAAACUAAGCAAUGUGCUCCUGUUUAUUAACUGCAUUAAGUGAUGGCAGCAAACACAUCCUACCUCAGUUAAUUAGAGCGAAUUAGUAAGCCGCUUCACGCGCAUGUAAACUCGAUCAAGCUGUGUUCUAUUUUUAUUUACUUAUAGAUUUUCAAACGGAAAAUUUAGCUGGUAGGUCGAAGAGAAAACCUUAGUGCUAGGCAGACCUCUCACGUACCCGGGAGGUUGGAUGAGUCAUGAAGACUCUGGAGUUUUCAGCGGCACCUAGAUUUUCUGAUGUUCUUAUGUUCUGAUGUAAUAUCUCAGUGUCUUGGAAGCACGAAUCAGUGACAGAGACAUACGGGGCCAGUACCUUCGUUGGUAUGGAUUUUCUUGGUUUCUCAAAGAGAGAUUAAUCUUCAAAAAUCACUCUUUUACGAA